rnacentral:lncRNA from 1 species
AUCAAGCCAUCAUCCCUGCUCUCCUAGAUUUCCACUAACAUUCUCCUGAGCUCUCUUGCAUUUCUACAGCCCGUUUCCUUUACGAUGUCAGACUGAACUUGUAAAUGUAAAUUGACCCAGAACCAUCACAUCUAGAUUAAAUCCAAAAUUGCUCUGAAUUUUAUAAAGACCCCCAGGACUGGCUCCUGCCUGCUCCUUUCAGACUGAUGCUCUCCACUGUCCCCCACCUGUUCAGGUGCAGGACUUGCCUUCUCCUUCCUCCCUAGACAAGCUCAUCCCCACAGCCCCACGGCCUGUGCAUUUGCUGUUUUUAUCUCUGCUAGAUGCACUUUCCCAGAUAUUCCAAAGUCUUGUUCCCGAAUCUAUUGAAACAGUCAAGACCAUCCUAAGACAUUCUGUAACUUAUUCCUCUGCUCUGUUUUUCUUGUGUCACCAACCACUCUAGGAAACCAUCCUACAUUUAUUUUGUCAUUGUCUCCCUCCCAGCAUAGUGUUUAUUCUUGACAUCACAGACUCUUGGUCAUAUUCCCUACUGUAAACCUGGUGCCAUGCACAAUGCCUGGCAUACAGUAAACCUUCAAAAUUAUUUUUUAAAAGACUCCAAGAUUAAUAAAAAUGUGCAGUACAACUUAAAGGAAACUUGGAUUUGUCUUACAAGGAUUCAAUAAAAAUGUACAUACCAAAUAAUAUAAAGCAAAAAACCAAAACCUCUAAUUUUUAAUGACAUUUUAGAAUGCACUAAUGCAUCAAAGAUUUGUAUGAAAUUUGUAUGAAAUUAAAAUUAAGCCUUUGAAAGACUAUUCAUUGUGUGGAUUAAUACCUAAAAUAUGUUUCGCUCCCCCUGCUUGAGAAACUAAUUAUUCAAAUAAGAAUUAAACCUAAAACAAUAGGCAUCUCAGACUAAACGUAAUAGUGAUAAGACAUUAUUUAUUGGAUACUAAGUAAGUUUCAGGCUCUAUUCUAAGCACUUUGUGGGUAUCAACUCACUUAAUCCUCACAAAAACUCUGCCAGGCAGGUACUAUUGUUAUCUCAUUUUAUGGAAAAAGAAACCAAAGCACAGAGAGGAGAAACAUUUUUCCCAGAGUCACACCGCUUGUAAGAGUAAACUUGGAGUAAACUGAAGAUCCAAAUCUCUGCCUUCUGGUUAUAAAGUCUGCAUUAUCUCCCAAAUUUUUCCUUCUUGACCAUUAUGACACCAGAGUGCGGUGAAAUCCUUGGGCUAGAGGAGAAUCAGGAGAAGUGUCUAUCCAUUCUCUGGACCUAAGCUUCUUCUGAUCUCAAGUUGGUAAAACAAGGGACUCCAUGCCUUAGCCAUGAGACCUUUACCCCCUUGCCUGAGUGUGUUGUGGUCCUGAGACAGUGAGUCCUGACUGGAUCAUCAAGACUUUUGACAGGAGGAGGUAGAAAUGGGAAUAAGAAGUUCUAAGAAGGAUGUUAAGUAAUUAAGAGCUAAGCCUUAAUGGAGAACAAAAUUGACCAAAUUACGUUCUUAGAUGGUGCAUGUAUGAAUAUGUAAAAAGGAAGCCCACUACUAUGUAUAAUCGUAAUGCACCAAUUAGAAUAAAUAGAUUUUUAAAAAUAAAGGUUAUAAUGCCCUAAUUUUAAAAAUUGUAAGUAAAUAGAAGAAAGACCAUUAGAGGAAAGGGAA